GGUAGCCUAGUGGUCAUGGUAAUGGACUCGUAGUCGAUGUGUCAUGAGUUCAAGCCUAGUACCA